AUUUUGAAAAUACGCAUUUUUGGCGUUAUUUUUUCCAUUUCGUUUGUUCUCCUCAGUCGAAAAUAAAAUAUAUCAUAAGGUUCGUUUUCGUUUCGCGAAAUUUUCGUUUUAAA